UACGAAGGGGGCUAGCGUUGCUCGGAAUCACUGGGCGUAAAGCGCACGUAGGCGGAUUGUUAAGUCAGGGGUGAAAUCCUGGAGCUCAACUCCAGAACUGCCUUUGAUACUGGCGAUCUUGAGUCCGGGAGAGAUGAGUGGAACUGCGAGUGUAGAGGUGAAAUUCGUAGAUAUUCGCAAGAACACCAGUGGCGAAGGCGGCUCACUGGCCCGGUACUGACGCUGAGGUGCGAAAGCGUGGGGAGCAAACAGG
rnacentral:rRNA from 1 species